CCCGCUCAGAAACUCAAGGAAUUGACGGGGCCCGCACAAGCGGUGAGCAUGUGGUUUAAUUCGAUGAUACGCGAGGAACCUUACCUGGGCUCAAAUGUAUGUUGACGUAUUCUGAAAGGGAUACUUCUUCGGACAAUAUACAAGGUGCUGCAUGGUUGUCGUCAGCUCGUGCCGUGAGGUGUCGGGUUAAGUCCCAUAACGAGCGCAACCCCUAUCAUUAGUUGCCAUCAGGUUAAGCUGGGGACUCUAAAGGAACUGCCUACGCAAGUAGUGAGGAAGGCGGGGAUGACGUCAAAUCAGCACGGCCCUUACGUCCAGGGCUACACACGUGCUACAAUGGCCGAUACAGAGGGCAGCUACCUGGUGACAGGAUGCAAAUCUCCAAAGUCGGUCUCAGUUCGGAUCGGAGUCUGCAACCCGACUCCGUGAAGUUGGAUUCGCUAGUAAUCGCGCAUCAGCCAUGGCGCGGUGAAUACGUUCCCGGGCCUU
rnacentral:rRNA from 1 species